rnacentral:tRNA from 1 species
GGGGGUUUAGCUCAGCGGCACGAGUGCCUGCCUGAGAAGCAGGAGGUCAUGAGUUCGAUCCCCA